rnacentral:ncRNA from 1 species
ACAAAGAAGAGUUUGAUCCUGGCUCAGGAUGAACGCUAGCGAUAGGCCUAACACAUGCAAGUCGAGGGGCAGCAUAGGGUAGCAAUACUUUGAUGGCGACCGGCGCACGGGUGAGUAACGCGUAUGCAACCUACCUAUAACAGGGGAAUAACCCGGAGAAAUUCGGACUAAUACCGCAUAAAACAGGGGCUCCGCAUGGAGAUAUUUGUUAAAGAUUUAUCGGUUAUAGAUGGGCAUGCGUUCCAUUAGCCAGUUGGUGAGGUAACGGCUCACCAAAGCAACGAUGGAUAGGGGAACUGAGAGGUUUGUCCCCCACACUGGAACUGAGACACGGACCAGACUCCUACGGGAGGCAGCA